rnacentral:rRNA from 1 species
UUUGGUCAAGCUACUAAGGGCGUAUGGGGGAUGCCUUGGCGCCAGAAGGCGAUGAAGGGCGUGGUAAGCUGCGAUAAGCUCCGGUGAGGUGCACACAACCAUAGAUCCGGAGAUUCCCGAAUGGGGCAACCCAUCCCGAGUAAUGUCGGGAUAUCGUUUCGAUGUAUUGUCGAGACGAGGCGAACGCGGGGAACUGAAACAUCUCAGUACCUGCAGGAAAAGAAAGCGAACGUGAUUCCCUGAGUAGCGGCGAGCGAAACGGGAAGACUGCCCAAACCGGACCGUACGUUAAAGCUCGCGCGCGUUGUGCGGUCGGGGUAGUGGGUCUUGCUUGGACUCUAGCGCGAACGGGGUCGAGGAGUUACAAAGCUAUGCCCUAGUCGAAUAGUCUGGAAAGACUAACCAUAGAUGGUGAUAGUCCAGUAGGCGAAAGGGUGAUAGCCUCCUUGGAGCGAAUACCCAAGUACCACGGGACACGGGAAAUCCUGUGGGAAUCCGGCCCGACCACGGGCUAAGGCUAAAUACUCUCUGGCGACCGAUAGUGAACCAGUACCGUGAGGGAAAGGUGAAAAGAACCCCUGGCGGGGAGUGAAACAGAACCUGAAACCAUGCGCCUACAAUCAGUGGGAGCUAUCCUUGCCGUGAUCUUCGGAUCGGGCAAGGGGUGACCGCGUGCCUUUUGCAUAAUGAGCCGGCGAGUUACUUCUACGUAGCGAGGUUAAUCCCUUCUGGGGAGGAGCCGUAGCGAAAGCGAGUCCUAACCGGGCGACUUAGUUGCGUGGAGUAGACCCGAAACCGAGUGAUCUACCCAUGGCCAGGGUGAAACGCGUGUAACAGCGCGCGGAAGCCCGAACCGGUGAGUGUUGAAAAACUCUCGGAUGAGCUGUGGGUCGGAGUGAAAGGCUAAUCAAACUCGGAGAUAGCUGGUUCUCCCCGAAAUAGCUUUGGGGCUAGCCUUGGAAGUUUAGUGGCGGAGGUAGAGCACUGACUGGGUAAGGGGUCUAUGAGACUACCGACCCCAUUCAAACUCCGAAUGCCGUCACUUGAGAUUCCAGGAGUCAGGCCACGAGGGAUAAGCUCCGUGGCCAAAAGGGAAACAACCCAGACCGUCAGCUAAGGUCCCUAAGAACAGGCUAAGUGACAAAGGAUGUGGGAUUGCCCAGACAACCAGGAUGUUGGCUUAGAAGCAGCCAUCAUUGAAAGAGUGCGUAACAGCUCACUGGUCAAGUGGUCCCGCGCCGAAAAUAAUCGGGACUCAAGUCUGUCACCGAAGCUACGGAACGGUGCGAUGACUUGUCAUCACGCUGUUGGUAGGGGAGCGUUCCAUCUGAGGUUGAAGGUUCGUCGCGAGGCGGGCUGGACUGGAUGGAAGUGAGAAUGCCGGCAUGAGUAGCGACAAAAUAGGCGAGAAACCUAUUCACCGAAAGCCUAAGGUUUCCUGAGGAAGGCUAAUCCGCUCAGGGUCAGUCGGCCCCUAAGCCGAGGCCGAGAGGCGUAGGCGAUGGGAAACAGGUCAACAUUCCUGUACCACCUGAGAUGCGCUACCAGCUAUGGGGUGACGCAGAAGGGGUGGCCAGCUCCGUGCUGGAAUACGGAGUCCAAGCCCGUAGGAGGUCCUGGCAGGCAAAUCCGCCGGGGCGCUAACUCCGAGAGGCGAUGGGGAGCCCGUUAGGGCACAAACUGGUCGUUACCAGACUGCCAAGAAAAACCUCUAUGCGAGUAUCUUGGGUGACCGUACCGUAAACCGACACAGGUAGGCGAGGAGAGAAUCCUCAGGUGCUCGAGAGAACCCUCGUUAAGGAACUCGGCAAAAUGACCCCGUAACUUCGGAAGAAGGGGUGCCCUGCUUGGUGUAAGCUCUUGCAGCUGAAGCUCGGCGGGGCCGCAGAGAAUCGGCCUGGGCGACUGUUUACUAAAAACACAGGUCUCUGCUAAGUCGCAAGACGAGGUAUAGGGACUGACACCUGCCCGGUGCCGGAAGGUUAAGGGAAUGAGUUAGGUGAGUGGCAACACGAACCGAAGCUUUGAACCGAAGCCCCGGUAAACGGCGGCCGUAACUAUAACGGUCCUAAGGUAGCGAAAUUCCUUGUCGGGUAAGUUCCGACCUGCACAUUGUAGUGGUGGUGAAGAUGCCGCCUACCCGCGACUGGACAGAAAGACCCCGUGAACCUUUACUGCAACUUGAUACUGGAUUUUGGCAUAGCAUGUGUAGGAUAGGUGGGAGACAGCGAAGUUCCGACGCCAGUCGGGAUGGAGUCGCCCUUGGAAUACCACCCUUGUUGUGUUGAGGUUCUAACCACUGUCCGUGAAUCCGGGCAUGGGACAAUGUCAGGUGGGCAGUUUGACUGGGGCGGUCGCCUCCCAAAAGGUAACGGAGGCGCCCAAAGGUUCCCUCAGCGCGGCCGGUAAUCGCGCAUCGAGUGUAAAGGCAGAAGGGAGCUUGACUGCGAGGCCAACAAGCCGAGCAGGUGGGAAACCAGGGCUUAGUGAUCCGGCGGUUCUGUGUGGAAAGGCCGUCGCUCAACGGAUAAAAGGUACUCCGGGGAUAACAGGCUAAUCGGUCCCAAGAGUUCACAUCGACGGACCGGUUUGGCACCUCGAUGUCGGCUCAUCGCAUCCUGGGGCUGGAGGAGGUCCCAAGGGUUGGUCUGUUCGCCCAUUAAAGCGGUACGUGAGCUGGGUUUAGAACGUCGUGAGACAGUUCGGUCCCUAUCCAUCGCGGGCGCAGGAUAUUUGAGGGGAGCUGUCCUUAGUACGAGAGGACCGGGACGGACGGACCUCUGGUGUACCAGUUGUGGCGCCAGCUGCAUCGCUGGGUAGCUAUGUCCGGAAGGGAUAACCGCUGAAAGCAUCUAAGUGGGAAGCCCACCCCAAGAUAAGAUAUCCCUCCCGAGCAAUCGGGACUGAAGGCUCCUCGUAGAUUACGAGGUUGAUAGGCCGGAGGUGUAAGUCCUGCAAGGGAUUGAGCCGACCGGUACUAAUAAGCCGUGAGGCUUGACCAAAC